rnacentral:rRNA from 1 species
GACGAACGCUGGCGGCGUGCUUAACACAUGCAAGUCGAACGGAAAGGCCCUGCUUGCAGGGUACUCGAGUGGCGAACGGGUGAGUAACACGUGGGUGAUCUGCCCUGCACUUCGGGAUAAGCCUGGGAAACUGGGUCUAAUACCGGAUAGGAGCCAUUUUUAGUGUGAUGGUUGGAAAGUUUUUUCGGUGUAGGAUGAGCUCGCGGCCUAUCAGCUUGUUGGUGGGGUAAUGGCCUACCAAGGCGGCGACGGGUAGCCGGCCUGAGAGGGUGGACGGCCACAUUGGGACUGAGAUACGGCCCAGACUCCUACGGGAGGCAGCAGUGGGGAAUAUUGCACAAUGGGCGCAAGCCUGAUGCAGCGACGCCGCGGGGGGGAGGACGGCCUUCGGGUUGUAAACUCCUUUCGCUAGGGACGAAGCUUUUUGUGACGGUACCUAGAGAAGAAGCACCGGCUAACUACGUG